UGUAAGUGCCGGCUUUCCUUGACUGAUGGUUCCGGGAAAAAAAUUACUCACUGACUGGAAAUUGGUUGUUAUCUUUGAGAAAAGAAGCAUUUACUGCCUGGGGGAUUUAAGAUUGGUUCCAAAAACUAUCAUCCGUAUUCUUGACAAAUGAUCACAUAUUUUAGAAGAUGGAUACAUCUUUGUUCAUAUAGACAACAUUUCCUGACAAAUCCGAAGAAGACCAAGUUUCUGUCCACACAGUUUGCAGUCUUGUGGGCUUCAUGGAUGCAGCCCUUGCCUCCUCAGCACAGACUCCUCAAUCAUGACAUGAGAGGAUACGCUUGCAGCAUCCAUCUUUGACUGGAACCAUUCCAGUGACAAGAGAGAUAAUUACAAUGGCGAGAAACACAAUUGGAAACCUGGCUUCGUGGGCUGGGAUGCAGACAAAGCAUUGCAAUAGCCCAGUGCCUCUGUGAAGGCUGUAUUUCACAUCCCAACAACACGGAACAAAUUGCACAAACGCAAGGAAUUAGAUCCCUUGGUAACAAAUAUUGAAGUCACUUUUUAAAAUGUCACCAAAUGGCUCUGUUAACUCUGUUUUGUAACAAGUGAGAGGCAGAUGGCACUUUGAAGUGUAUGAUGCAUCUUGGAAGAGCAAAAUUGCUCAGGCAUUUUUGUCUAGUUUGCUAAGAUGGAGUGAUGAUGCCCCAGAUGAAAGGCGCUUGGCAUGCCCUCACACAAAAGGCUGAGUACCACUGAGGAUCACACUGUUCACUGUAAGUUGGGUUUCCUGAAGGCUUACACACUUGCUGAAUGAAAGUUGCAAAGCAAGGGGCUGCAGGGGGUGAGGGGAGAAAGUUCCCAUCUUCUAAAUGCCUACAAUGCUUUUCAUGUAGUUGGUGACAAUUAUACAGCUUAUUAAAUUCUCUGCAAUU
ensembl:antisense Gm15866 predicted gene 15866